AACGAGACUCCGGCAUGCUAACUAGUUAGGCGGCCCCGAGAGGUCGGUCUUAAACUUCUUAGAGGGACAAGUGGCGUUCAGCCACACGAAAUUGAGCAAUAACAGGUCUGUGAUGCCCUUAGAUGUCCGGGGCUGCACGCGCGCCACAAUGAGUGGAUCAGCGUGUGUCUACCCCUCGCCGAGAGGCGUGGGUAACCCGCUGAACCCCACUCGUGAUAGGGAUUGGGGAUUGCAAUUAUUUCCCAUCAACGAGGAAUUCCCAGUAAGCGCGGGUCAUAAGCUCGCGUUGAUUAAGUCCCUGCCCUUUGUA
rnacentral:rRNA from 1 species